UUGAUUUCAUCGAAAAUGCAUUAUAAUUGAUGAAUAAUUGAUUGGCCGUAUGGACAAAUAUUAAUUUCAUGGAAAUGAAGAAUUUAUUUGGAACCCCAUCAAUAAUCCUCAGUUAAUACAUAAGUUAAUAUCACACUACAUCAUAGACCUAAUAUCAGACUUUAGGUCUAUGCACUACAUUUAUUUACGCAUACUAUUUCAUUUAAUAAUGCUGAAUCUAUAUGUGGUCGAUUGAAAUAAAUAUAGCUGAGUGUUAUGUUUUAUUUAUUAAUAAUUAAUGAAUAGAAUUUAUUUGUAACAUUUUAUUCAAUUUCAAUAUUCAUCAGAACAACUCAUAGUUCUGUGAUUUCAUUUGUCAUUCUCAAAUAUACCGCCAUUUUAACCAGCAUUAAGGUUAGAAUAUUUCACCAGUUAAAUUUUGAUGAUGAAAGAAUCACUCUUGAAUUUUAGCUUAGUUUCUUGAGCUUGCAAAGUGUAUAUAUUAUGAAUAUUUAAUGGUGGAAAUCGUAUUCAAUUUUUUACGCUAGUGAGAAAAUCUAAAUACACAUCGAGUGCGAUGUAAUCAAUCAAUCACAAAUCAUAUUGAUCCUGGCAGAUUAUUACCUGAUCAUCAGCGAAAUGUAUAAAUGAAGAAAUAUUGAAACGAUUACCCGAUUUCCUACUGAAAAAUUGUACAUCAUCCACUUUAACAAUUCAAGAAUUAGAAAUAAUUAGGCACUAUUCUGGAGGAAAGUAGUAUUGAAUCAUUAUAUGAUCAUCUCUUAGUUGCAAAAAAUAUUUGUUGAUGACCUCAAAGUAAUAAGUAAAAGUUAUAUGUGAAAUGGGCUCACAAAUUAGGUUUCAGCAGAAGCUAGGAGUUUGGCAACAAUAUAUUGGUCAUCCAUUCCGCAUGAAUUUCAUUGUGUAAUAAUUGUUGAACUCAUAGCACUCAUCCCGAGUACCUUCUGAAGUUUUAUCCUAUUCCUCCUGUAGUUAUACACUGUAUUCAAGAGCGAUAACACCUGAUGAAAGCAGUUUAAUUCAUUUAUCCAAUAUCCUCAAUGAAACUCCAAGAUUUUAUUAAUUUCAAUGAUUGCCCAAUAUUGACAAAAAAUAUAGGAACGAUUUUCUACUGAAAAAUUGGUGAGAUUCUGUUCAUUACAAAAUUAAAUAAACAAUUAAAAUUUUAUUGAACGACUAAACAGGGAAGACUCAACAAUAAGUUGUCAAAUAUGAAAAAAUCAAUUAAUUGUACAAUUUCCAAGCAUAUCAAUGAACGAAACACAAAGAAGAAUCUUCAAAAUGCUCGAAAACACUCUCUGAAAAAACAUUUGGUAAGAAAAUUUAAGUUGUGCGGUGUUCAUAAGCUCACGGAAUUGGUUCGACUCAUUCAAUAAUACAUUAUUUUCAGCUGACAUAAAUUUCCGAAUGGUUUUUGGUAAAUCAAACUCCCUUUUCACAGGUUGGGAGAGGUGCUAUCAAAACAUCAUCACAUUCCUCAUGAAAGAGAAAAACGAGAAACAAAAAACUGUGAGAGAACUUCUGGGCACUGUUAGUGAAGGAAAUUUCAGUGAAAAUGGACAAGAUGCUUCAAUUGUUUGGAACUUAUUUGGUGCCUACGAUGGUUGCCAUUACUGGACAAAGAACACAACCAAAUAUAAAAUUAAAGAUUCUCAGGGAUCAUUCCUGUUUGUUGGAAGGUAGAUUCAGGAAAUGGAAGAUCAUAUAGAAUAUUAAAAAACAAGAUUAACAACCCCAUACAUCCAUUUAUAAGAGGGAUUGCAUCGGAGAUGAUAUAAAAUGUAUACAUGAAUUGUUUGUAUAUUUUGAUGACAGAAGAUUCGAAUUCCAUAGUUUUUACAGAGUGGUUGAUAUUUGAGUCAAAAUUAUAUGUUUUACCUAGAUUUUUCUAGAAAAUCCUCAAUGGUUUGGUCUUAUUUUCAUUAGCUAUGAACCUCUUUAGCAUUUUCUAGUGUGUAUAUUUGAUCAGAAGUAAUAGAAGUGUACAAAAUAUAAACAUAAUAUUAUGUAUUGUUAUAUAUUAUACAUAUAAAAAAAAAUUGUAUUA